ACGGAAGGCAGCAGUGGGGAAUAUUGCACAAUGGGCGAAAGCCUGAUGCAGCAACGCCGCGUGAGGGAAGAAGGUCUUCGGAUUGUAAACCUUUGUCUUUGGUGAAGAAACAAAUGACGGUAGCCGAGGAGAAAGCCACGGCUAACUACGUGCCAGCAGCCGCGGUAAUACGUAGGUGGCAAGCGUUGUCCGGAUUUACUGGGUGUAAAGGGAGCGCAGGCGGGAAAACAAGUCAGCUGUGAAAACUACGGGCUUAACCUGUAAACUGCAGUUGAAACUGUUUUUCUUGAGUGAAGUAGAGGUAGGCGGAAUUCCGAGUGUAGCGGUGAAAUGCGUAGAGAUUCGGAGGAACACCAGUGGCGAAGGCGGCCUACUGGGCUUUAACUGACGCUGAGGCUCGAAAGUGUGGGGAGCAAACAGGAUUAGAUACCCUGGUA
rnacentral:rRNA from 1 species